rnacentral:rRNA from 1 species
GACGAACGCUGGCGGCGUGCUUAACACAUGCAAGUCGAACGGUAAGGCUCCAGCUUGCUGGGGUACACGAGUGGCGAACGGGUGAGUAACACGUGGGUGACCUGCCCUGCACUUCGGGAUAAGCCUUGGAAACUGGGUCUAAUACCGGAUAGGACCAUGAUGUGGAUACUGUGGUGGAGAGUUUUUUCGGUGUGGGAUGGGCCCGCGGCCUAUCAGCUUGUUGGUGGGGUAAUGGCCUACCAAGGCGGCGACGGGUAGCCGGCCUGGGAGGGUGGACGGCGACCAUGGGACUGAGAGACGGACCAGACUGCUACGGGAGGCAGCAGUGGGGAAUAUGACACAAUGGGCGGAAGCCAGAUGCAGCGACGCCGCGUUGGGGAUGACCGCCUUCGGGUGGUAAACUCCUUUCUCCAUCGACGAAGGGUUUCUGACGGUAGAUGGAGAAGAAGCACCGGCUAACUACGUG